rnacentral:rRNA from 1 species
UACAGGGGGCGCGAGCGUUGCUCGGAAUCACUGGGCGUAAAGGGUGCGUAGGCGGGUUUUUAAGUCAGAGGUGAAAUCCUGGAGCUCAACUCCAGAACUGCCUUUGAUACUGAGAAUCUUGAGUUCGGGAGAGGUGAGUGGAACUGCGAGUGUAGAGGUGAAAUUCGUAGAUAUCCGCAAGAACACCAGUGGCGAAGGCGGCUCACUGGCCCGAUACUGACGCUGAGGCACGAAAGCGUGGGGAGCAAACAGG